GGCGGCGCGCCUAACACAUGCAAGUCGAACGAGCGAGAGAGAGCUUGCUUUCUCGAGCGAGUGGCGAACGGGUGAGUAACGCGUGAGGAACCUGCCUCAAAGAGGGGGACAACAGUUGGAAACGACUGCUAAUACCGCAUAAGCCCACGGCUCGGCAUCGAGCAGAGGGAAAAGGAGCAAUCCGCUUUGAGAUGGCCUCGCGUCCGAUUAGCUAGUUGGUGAGGUAACGGCCCACCAAGGCGACGAUCGGUAGCCGGACUGAGAGGUUGAACGGCCACAUUGGGACUGAGACACGGCCCAGACUCCUACAGGAGGCAGCAGUGGGGAAUAUUGCACAAUGGGGGAAACCCUGAUGCAGCGACGCCGCGUGGAGGAAGAAGGUCUUCGGAUUGUAAACUCCUGUUGUUGGGGAAGAUAAUGACGGUACCCAACAAGGAAGUGACGGCUAACUACGUGCCAGCAGCCGCGGUAAAACGUAGGUCACAAGCGUUGUCCGGAAUUACUGGGUGUAAAGGGAGCGCAGGCGGGAAGACAAGUUGGAAGUGAAAUCUAUGGGCUCAACCCAUAAACUGCUUUCAAAACUGUUUUUCUUGAGUAGUGCAGAGGUAGGCGGAAUUCCCGGUGUAGCGGUGGAAUGCGUAGAUAUCGGGAGGAACACCAGUGGCGAAGGCGGCCUACUGGGCACCAACUGACGCUGAGGCUCGAAAGUGUGGGUAGCAAACAGGAUUAGAUACCCUGGUAGUCCACACCGUAAACGAUGAUUACUAGGUGUUGGAGGAUUGACCCCUUCAGUGCCGCAGUUAACACAAUAAGUAAUCCACCUGGGGAGUACGACCGCAAGGUUGAAACUCAAAGGAAUUGACGGGGGCCCGCACAAGCAGUGGAGUAUGUGGUUUAAUUCGACGCAACGCGAAGAACCUUACCAAGUCUUGACAUCCCUUGACAGACAUAGAAAUAUGUAAUCUCUUCGGAGCAAGGAGACAGGUGGUGCAUGGUUGUCGUCAGCUCGUGUCGUGAGAUGUUGGGUUAAGUCCCGCAACGAGCGCAACCCUUAUGGUCAGUUACUACGCAAGAGGACUCUGGCCAGACUGCCGUUGACAAAACGGAGGAAGGUGGGGAUGACGUCAAAUCAUCAUGCCCUUUAUGACUUGGGCUACACACGUACUACAAUGGCGUUAAACAAAGAGAAGCAAGACCGCGAGGUGGAGCAAAACUCAGAAACAACGUCCCAGUUCGGACUGCAGGCUGCAACUCGCCUGCACGAAGUCGGAAUUGCUAGUAAUCGUGGAUCAGCAUGCCACGGUGAAUACGUUCCCGGGCCUUGCACA
rnacentral:rRNA from 1 species